rnacentral:rRNA from 1 species
GGUUAAGUCCCGCAACGAGCGCAACCCCUAUUUCCAGUUGCCAGCACGCAAAGGUGGGAACUCUGGAGAAACUGCCGGUGACAAACCGGAGGAAGGUGGGGAUGACGUCAAAUCAUCAUGCCCUUUAUGUCCUGGGCUACACACGUGCUACAAUGGUCGGUACAAAGGGCAGCGAAGCCGUGAGGCGGAGCGAAUCCCAUAAAGCCGGUCUCAGUUCGGAUUGCAGGCUGCAACCCGCCUGCAUGAAGUCGGAAUCGCUAGUAAUCGCAAGUCAGCAUAUUGCGGUGAAUACGUUCCCGGGUCUUGCACACACCGCCCGUCACACCACGAAAGUUGGUAACACCCGAAGCCGGUGGGCUAACCGCAAGGAGGCAUCCGUCUAAGGUGGGAUCGAUAAUUGGGGUG